AGUUUGCAAAUAUAGCUGUAUAUUGGAUACUGUUUGCAAAUUUUGAAAGUUGAAACCGUGUAGAAAAACGAAGAAAAGAAAUAAGGAAACAAGAAAAAUGCAGAAAUAUAAAACGUGUGUAGAAGUCAACACUCUCUUUCCUUUCGGUGGAUUGCACCUGCAUAGCCGCAUAGGCGUCUCUCAUCAUCGUCUCUUUUGCUCCUCACAAAAUAAAUAAAUACUCAAAUCCAACAAAUCCUCAUCUAUCCAUUUGUUUCGUAAAUCGAUAAUUAGGUAUUCUGUUAUUCGUUUUAUUUAUUCCAGAUUUUUUCGUUUGGAAUCUAAGGGGAAGCCAUGGAUGUUGAUUCUUGGGCUGCUCGCCUUUCAUCCGCCUCCAAGCGCUAUCAAUUCGCUCUUCAAUGUCGAUCUGGUAAACACGCCUUCCAGUUUUCCAUAUCUACCUUAGAAUUUAAAAUUUCACGUGUAACGUUUAUUUUAUUUCACAUCAGGAAAAUUUUAACUCGAGUUUUUGAAUUCACAACACGAAGUUAAUGAUCGCUAAAGAUCGACUUUUACUAAAGUUCGUUAAUUUUGGAACUACCUAUUUAUUUACCUUAAAGAAUCAAAU
rnacentral:lncRNA from 1 species